GGUGGUGGCUCAACGGUAGAGCACUCGCCUAGCACAUGUGAGGCCCUAGGUUCAAUCCUCAGCACCA
rnacentral:tRNA from 1 species